CCGGCCCGCAGCGCGCGCGCCGAGGCGUCCGGGUCCUCCGGGAGCAGGACCAGGUGGGUCUUGUCGACGUUCGAGGCGUCGAUGCCGGC
rnacentral:tRNA from 1 species